rnacentral:rRNA from 1 species
AGAGUUUGAUCAUGGCUCAGGAUAAACGACUGGCGGCGCACAUAAGACAUGCAAGUCGAACGGACUUAACUCUUCUUUUAGAUUGAGAGCGGUUAGUGGCGGACUGGUGAGUAACGCGUGAGUAACCUGCCUAUUAGAGGGGAAUAACAGUGAGAAAUCACUGCUAAUACCGCAUAUGCUCACAGUACCACAUGGUACAGUGAGGAAAGGAGCAAUCCGCUAAUAGAUGGACUCGCGUCUGAUUAGCUAGUUGGUGGGGCAACGGCCUACCAAGGCGACGAUCAGUAGCCGGACUGAGAGGUUGAACGGCCACAUUGGGACUGAGAUACGGCCCAGACUCCUACGGGAGGCAGCAGUCGGGAAUAUUGCGCAAUGGAGGAAAAACCUCUGACGCAGUGACGCCGCGUAUAGGAAGAAGGUUUUCGGAUUGUAAACUAUUGUCGUUAGGGAAGAAAAAAGACAGUACCUAAGGAGGAAGCCCCGGCUAACUAUGUGCCAGCAGCAGC